rnacentral:lncRNA from 1 species
AUCGAUCUACACGGUGCCGUCCCUAUCAGUGUCCGUGUAGUUGAUUUGGGCGUGGAUUAUGUCUCCCGCUACUAUCUUGGAUCCAACUUGAUUAUGAGGAUGGAAGCAAGUCUUCCCCAACUGCGAGGCGGACGCAUCGUGGCUAUUCCCGCUCGAUGCUACCCAGCAAGUCGUCGUCAUCCUCCACUGCGUCAACAUUCUUGGAAGUUCAAACUUUGAGAUGCAGGUCCCCCUUUUCCUUUUCCUAACUCGGUCAUAUUUAUAAUGUAAUUUAGGAAAUGUCUUGUAGUGGAAUUUUUUUCUUCAUUUUCCUUUAAAACUUAGUGAAACUUGUGAUUCUGUUUUUAAGUGCUCUAUAAGUGUUGAAUCAGGUAGGUACUAAUAAGUUUGUGAAAUUUUAAAAAUGUAAGUACAUGUCUGAGUGAAUUUGCUUGGCCGCCAAAAAAGUAGCAAAAUUUGCUAAUGUUGUGGAAGAUUGACAUAAUUUUUUAUUGAUUUAUUUACUUUAUUAAAUUGACUAUGAGUUUAGAGUGUAUUUAUAUACUAUAUUUAUAUCCAUUUUAUCAUCUUAUCUACUGGCCGCUCUUGGAAUUCACUUGGAUUGACUUAAGGUGAAGGCACUAAAUGAUGAUAGUAAGUCUUGAAUGCCAAAUACAUCUUAAGGCGUAGUUUUAAUUUUUUUAUGCUCCUUCCACUUUUUUCGGGCUUGGGACUGGUGUUGGUAGUGUUAGGCCCCCUACCCAUAUUAUUGUUCAACAAACUUAAGAAUAAAUUAGAGCAUUUGUGAUUAGCAAUAGUUUAAAUAUUUUUAAAAGACAAAUGAAGAUAUGGUAACUGAUAUGAAAACAGGUCUGAUUGCAUUCUACAAUGUCCCGAUGCUCCCACUAUUGGUUUGCUCUAAAUAAUAAGCAUGCAAAAGCAGAUAUCACAUAAUAUAGAUUGUCGAUGGUUUGUAGCAAUGAACUAUUUCCACCAAAUGUCGAUUCAUGUUUGUAAUACUUUGGCACUGUUGGAGACCAUAUUCGCCCUUCCAUAUCAUGUUAGCAUAGUGAAGUCAAUUUGUCUUUUUUGGGAUAGUUUACAAUGUACUAAAUUUCUAUAUAUGCAAUUCUUACGUAAUAGGCUAGUCUCCUCAGCUAGUGAAAGAAGUGUCAUGCUGAAAGUGUGUUAUUUGUUCAUACCUUUAGAAUAUUUGUACUAAAUCAACGAGAAUAUGGAAUGGAGGGAGUAUGUUCUUGACCACACCAUCCUAAUUGCUAUCUUCAUCAUUUACCAUUACUUGCAGUCCAUCCCUUUUUGUGACUCUUGAGAAGGCUACAUAUAGUUGUCCAUGUGUGAAAACUUGUUUAGAUAGAUGUAGUUCUACCUUGUUUAGAGAUUCCCCCUCGCCUUUGUUGAUAGUCAUAGCAAAGCAAACCGAUAUGGAUAUUGUCUCCUUUCUAGGACGAACGGCCAUGCAGAUUCGGUUGGUGACAUGACUAUUCUUGGAAUAUAUAUACCAUAUAUCCUACAUGUGUUCCUGUUAUUAUCUGUGCUUUGAUGAAUUUUGUUCGAAGUUGAAAUUGUCAUCCUUGCACAAUUGCAUAAUCCAUCACUUUGGUUGAUAUUACGCAGGAGCAUCACAGGUAUUCCAACUUUUAAUUUGAGCUCGUGAUUUAGGAUUCCGGGAAACAACAAUCUAUUCAGUAAUUGUGCUGGAUAUAGCAUUUUCGUCUCUGUAUUGAUGGUUGUUGCUUUGCAUACUGGGUUGCAGUUUAAAUAAGUUUUGUCUUCACAUUGUAGCCGAUCCAUUAUAUAGUCAUUUAUAUCGUGAACUAUUUCGUUCCUUGGACAUAAUAUUUCUCUUCUAAGAAAUACCGCUUGCGAUACUACCACUAUUGCAAAUUUGGAUAUGCUUUCCACAAUUAUUAUUUUUAUCAUUUCCUUUCUUUAGUAGUAUGCCACUUUGUAUUUUUACCAGCUCCCAAGCUUGUGACGUUGUAUUUUUUCCAGCACUAAUAUUCAGAAUCCACUAUGCAAAUUUUGAUACCCUUUGUUUCUCUGAUUCAUGAUGUGUUAUGAAGUUGAGUCCCAUGCUCUUUGUUAGUUUCGUUAUAUUAAUGUCCCUCCAAAGAUAUGACCUUUUAAUGGAUGUAGUGACAAUAUUGUGCCUUCUUCCCUUUGGUAUAACAGGAAGGAUCUGGCGGAAGUCCCCACCUAGAACCCCUGUCAUGUCCCCGAACUGUCUCUCUCUAUUAUUCACUUUUUAAUUUCUUAAUAUAUCCCUAAGAUUCAUGUCUAGCGCCUCAAAAUAUAUCUUGUUUGCCAUUGGAGACUCGUCCCAUAGUAUUAGCAACGUCUUUUUUAGUAGGUCUCUCAAGUGUGAACCAUGUUUGAUGUGAUAGGUCGACUCUUCUAUAAGGAUUAGGUGGAUGGGGAACCUUGAGUGCGCCGUUCCAUCUAUGUGUAGAAGUAGCACUACAAUACGAGAUGACACCACUUCUGGUACCACCAACCUUUAUCCAUUAGAAAAAAGUCCAUUUUACUACCCUGAACAAAGUUGGUGGUUCACAUCACCCCCUGAUCUAUUUUUCUGCCCCUUUCACCCCCUGAUCAAUCCCAUACCAGACAAAAAAAACCCUUGGUGGUUUGUCUCGACCUGGAGCUGACGUGGCGGUGGACAAGGGUGGUUUUUACCGGCUGGUGUGGUAGAGAUGCCCCCCACCAUGUGAAAAAUUCCCCAUUCUCUCUUUCUCUCCCUCAACGAAAUCCCUAACCCUAGCUUCCAUGGGCGGCGGCAGCGUUACCUCCACCAUUGUGUCCGUCGAUGGCGCGAGCACUGACGGCGGUGGUGGCGCAGCCCCGGUCGUCGCCGCCGUCCAACCUACACGUAGCUUGCUGGAUAGGUCGUUCCCGCAGGAGGUUUGGCGGCGAGGAGAGCCUUCUCGCUGACUGGAGACGAGCCAUGUUCUCAUCCCCCGCACUCCUUCCAUGGACGCGCUCGAGCUCCGCUACCGCCGGUACGUGCUGCUGUCCACGGCGGUUGGUGAUGGCGAGGAGAGCGUGACGCCGACAGCUCUUCUGGCAGCCUUGGAGGAGCGUUGCGGCGUGGUGGCGUCGGAGGUGGUCAUCGAGGUCGCGUGCCCCCCUCACGACCUGUGGCUCACCUUCUCAACGGAGGAGAAGUGCACCGAUGUGCUCUUUUCGUCGAUGAAGUUCAAGUGCUGCCGCCGCUGGAUCCAGUUUACACGCUGGAGCAGAUUCAUUCGUGUUGGGCCGGGUGCUUUGGAGUACAGGUGCAAGCUCAGCUUCGAAGGCCUCCCCAACCAGUCCUGGACGACGGAAUCGGUGAAAGCAGUUCCGAAAGACCUCGGUGGCGAACUCAUCGAGAUCCUGCCGCCGACAAACCGCCGCGAGCUCGAGGUAAUGGCUUGGCUUCGUGACCCGUUCUAUGUUGGCAAGUUGGUGAAAGUUGAGAUACCUGAGCCAACUCUGUUUAACAAGCAACCUGAGUUGAUGGAUGAGUACGAAGCAAUGCAGUUUGAUUUGGGUGACUACAGGCCGUCGUCGCCAAAGAAGAAGAGGACACUGUUGUAUCCUGUUUUGUGCCAUAUGAAAGAGGUGAUUGAUCGUGGUCCUCUGCUAGCUAAGGACUUGCCAGCUGAGUGGCUACCAGCUGAAGGUGAAGACCUCAGUCGCAAGCACAUAUUCAAGACCGAGCUGGGAAAGAUAGAUGGGACUGGAGAGUCAGAAGCAGUUUGAUCUUGUGUUAACUUCUAUUAAUUAUGUACUAGUGGAGUUAGUGUGUGGCAAAUGUGUUAAUCCAAUGGACUUGGUGUGUGCCAAAUGUGUGCCAGAUGAUGUGUAAUGAACAUGUCAACAGUUAAUUAUGUACUAGCAGUUUGAUGUUGUUUCUUCUUAUAGCACUUUAAUUAUUGCAAUCCUUUGAAAUUCAUUUCCACUUCAAAGAACACAGAAGCAAUUGAAUUUAGCUGUUAUGAAUGCAAACAGACUUGUGAACAGUACUUCAUAAUCUUUAGCCAGCAAGCACAAAACACAUAAACAUAAGUACUUCAUGUUCUCCAGCCAACACACUACUUCAUAAUCCAGCAAAGAACCAGCAAACCAAGCAGCUACAGCCACCAGGUUUGUAAAGUAAACAGUUCCAGGUAUCUAACUCCUAAGUUCAUCAAACAUGCUCAUGGUCCUCCUCUGCCUAGAAGUUGCUCCUGGUCUUUUGCACAUUUUAGCUUUAGGUGCAGUUUUGUUGACUUGUUUAGGGGCCCUUCCACUUGUAGGUUUGGUUUGGGUGCCCUGCUGUGAAGAUUUGUGUUGUGUGCCUUGAUGUGAAGAAUGUUGCUGGGUGCCCUGUUGUGAAGAUUGUGCCCUGUCCCCUGUAGAUGUUCCCUUAGUGACUCUCUGCGAUGUUCUUGGUUCAUUUUGCUACAACAGAAUAAAGAGAAAAUAAUUGUUAGUUACAUCAGAAUAAAAGAAAAACAAGAAAAGAAUUACCUAUAUGAUAGUAUGACAGUACACACCUUUGUCUCUUUCUUUCUCUUCUUAUUCUUGUAUUUCCCCCUGUUGGGAUUACUUGUGCACUUUCUCAUGUUGUGCCCAGGUUGUCCACACAGACUGCACUUACCUUUUCUUCCAAUUUUUGAAAGCUUGUGUGGAUGUUUUGGAGGCUCAUCUGCACCUCUUCUUCUCUCAGUCCUAGGUCUCCCAGGCAUUUGCAUAUAGCCUGGAACAGCUGGCCUUCGUCUGUCAGACACAGGCCAGCUAGGCAUGCCUUCCAUUGGCAUCAAGCAAUGCUCAUAAGUUUGGCCCUGUUCAAGUUGAAGUGUAUCCUGUUUGAAGAUUUUGCACAAGCCCAAAAUCUUUUCUGAUAUGCUUGAUCUCUAUGCUUUUUCUUCCAAUUAGCAUAGAUAUGCCUAGCACAAUUCCUAUGCUCAGCAUUUGGAACAACCGUGGACACAACAUUGAUGAGGCCUUUUUGUUGAUCUGAUAUAAAGACCCACCCUUCUCCUUGAUUUUGAAUUUCCAAGUCUUUGUUUAGCAGAGCCAUAAACUAGAACCAAGAGUCUUUGUUCUCAACUUCUACAGCAGCCCAGGCUAUUGGAUACAUUUGCCCAUUGGCAUCUCUCCCAAGAGCAGACAACAGUUCUCCACUCUGGGCUCCUUUAAAGAAGCAACCAUCCAAUCCUACAGCUUUCCUGCAACCUUCUAUGAAACCUCUUUUGCAAGCAUGGAAACACACAUAUAAUCUCUGAAAAACAGGGGCACUUUCCUUUGGAUUUAGCACUACUGCAACAGUGCUACCUGGAUUGCUCCUCAAUAUUUCUAGUUGAUAAUCAAAAACCCUAACAUAUUCUUCAUGCAUUGCUUCUCUAACUCUUCUUCUCACAAUUGCCUUUGCUUUCUUUAUCUUGGAGACAUGCACAUCUACAAACAUCUCCAACCUGACAGUUGCCUUGAUAGAUUUGAUUUUCCAUCCAGGAUUGGCCUUCAUAAUUAUCUCAUACUUAUCUGCUAUUCUAGCUGCAGUAACCAAUCUGUUGUCUCUCCUCUGGGGGCAUAUGUGGUUGUCUACAAAUGUGAUCACUUGAAACCAGUCAUUAGAGCUCCUAUGUCCAGCAUAUAUCAACCAUGGACACUCAGGCCAAGAGCAUUUUGCUCUAAUCCUAUUAGCCUCAUCCUUUAUGAUGGUAAUUUGUCUCUUCACUGCUAGACCAUAUUUCACAACAGCCUUCUUGAACUGUUUUCUCCCCCUAAAUGUCAUGCCAAGGCAAAAGACAGGAAUUGCAGCCUUGCUAUCAAAUCUUGGAAAUCUUGUUUCCCUCCUAAUGAAAUUUCCAAACUCAUCCCCAUCAUAACUGUACUCCUCAUUGGAAUCCAUGUAAGGAGUGUCAUUUCCCUCAUCCAUUUCAUCUACAAGGAUUAACUGUGCUGUAUUUUCCUUGAUCUCCUUCUCUUCAUCAAGUGGCAAGUUCAUCCUUAUCUUUGUAAGCACUUCGUUAGCAUGCUUUCUCAGCUCCUCUGCUUCAUCAUCUUCCCCUGAACUAUCUGCAUCUCUAGGACACCAAUCCAGGUCUUCACAUUCAUCAGCAGCAACCUCUUCUUUAUUUUCUGCAUUGAUCUCUUCUCCACCUUCAGGUUUCACAUUUGCUGCAGUUCCAGCAGCAUCCUCAUGCUCAUGCUCAUCCGCAGCCUCAUCAGAGCAAUCAUCUAGGCCCUCUUCAUGCUCUGCUUGCCAAUCACUGUCAGUGUGCUCUUCAUGACUUUCAGUUCCAGGAUUUUCAGUGUUCUCUUGUUGCUCUUCUACAUUUCCUUCAUUUUGUUCUUCUCCACCUUCAGUUUCCAAGUUCACAUAUAUGUCCACAACACCAGCAUCUGUAAUGCAUCUCUCCAUAAAAUACACAUUUUCAUCAGUCUCUAACCUUCUCAGCCCAUCUCUAACAUUCAUUCCAGGAAACAGCCAGUAGAGCCUAUGAUUGUCUAUCAAAGACUCACCAUGGUAUGCCAUCUUUAUGUCUGCAAUCUGCUCCCUGACAGAUGCUAAGGACAAAUUGUCCCUUUGCAUAAAAGUGACCUCAACAGAACCACCAAUGUAAGAGCAACACUUCUCUGAAUAUUCAAAUUCACCAUUGUAAUAGACACGAAGGCCUAACCAAUCAAGAUUGUCCAUUGUUGAUUCCUAAAAAACAACGAAGCAACUCUUAAAUCAAGCAAUCAACUAGAGCAACACUUAAAUCUCUAAAAACAGGAACUUCUCCUUCAUUCUACUCGACCCAGACCAUUAACAGAUGAAUUUCUUAACAGAUCAUGCAAUCAACUAUAGCCAUGUGUAGUAGGGGAAGGAGAUGAGACUAACCUCAAUUUCCCGACGCCGCGGAAACACUCAAUCCACCCCUACCAGUCCCGCCGCCGCAUCGAAUGCGCUGUCAUGCUAGGGUUUUGAGGAUGUGGACAAGAGAGGUGGCGCAAUGGCGCGAACAAGAGGGAUUGGGGUUGAUUCACCGUGGCACACUGCCGCCACCGCCAGUCCGAGCACCUUCGAUGGUUUCGGCUCAGCGCCGCCACGACGAUUCCAUCGCCGGCGGCAGAGAAGGAGGGGAUUGGGGAAUUUGUAGAAAAACAGAACGAACGGGUGCGGGGCAUCUCUACCACACCAGCCGGUAAAAACCACCCUUGUCCACCGCCACGUCAGCUCCAGGUCGAGACAAACCACCAAAGGGUUUUUUUUAUCUGGUAUGGGUUUGAUCAGGUGGUGAAAGGGGCAGAAAAAUAGAUCAGGGGGUGAUGUGAACCACCAACUUUGUUCAGGGUAGUAAAAUGGACUUUUUUCUAUCCAUUAUCAUGUCAUCAAUUGUUGCUUUUGUUGUGCAUACAAAUUCUUAAUACAGUUCAAGAGAAAAGAUAUGAGAUUAGAUACUAUACAAUAGAGAAGGUAUGGUAUGAUGAUCAAGGUUAGAUGCAUACCUUUCUUUUAACAUCACUCUAUCAUAGUUUUAUAGUUCCGUUCAAUAUUUUUCUGUUGUACAACAUUUGCUCUUCAAUCGUUCCUUUGGUGUUUCCAUUGACUCCCAUCAUUGUUGGGAUAACAUCUGUUUCACAAUGCCUAUAAUAGGUUUACAACUUGAUCACAUAAACUUGUAACUUUAGAAACAUACUCCCUCUGUAACAAAAUGAAGGAUGUUUUUUAUCGCCAACUACAUCAAAAAAUGUCUUAUAUUUCAUUACAGAGUGAGUAUAUAAUUGCAUUAUUUUAUACCAUACCUCUCAUUAAUUUGGUGUCUUCGGUAUUUCAAUGUCCAGGAUGACUUUAUAUGCAUUUGUUGUGCAUAGUGAUAGUCCCGGUACUAAAUGGUUAGUAGAUUUGGAUUUGCGUUUACACAAAGAGAUUAAAGUUCUUACCAUUGAAUUUCCUGACAAAAUUUGAAGUGACAGUUACUAUGAUUUGUUUGUGCUAAAGAUCUUCAUUCACCAUAUUUGCUAAAAUAUUCAACUGGUGCCCACCAUAGAAUUUGAGGUUCAUCAAAUUUGAAAACCUGCUGAUGCACCGUAUAUAUUUCUCUAUAUCGCAGCAAGUGAUCACAUUUGUUUCAGUUAAACUUGUUGAAUAUUUCUAGUCUCCUAGAGUGGUUUUGAAGAACAGUCCUCUAGAGUGUAUUAUCUUAAUGUAAAUACACUGGAAUCAACAUCCGUCGCAUAAGCCUUCUCUAGAUGAGUAAUAGUAUGAACAUGCCACCAUAGAAUUGCAAUAAUUAAUUUAGAAUAACAUCAUAGAUUUUUCUGUUUCAACAUAAUCGACCUUUUGAGCUAACAUGUCAAAUAUCUACAGUUGAACAAUUCCCGGAGUGUGAUUGAUCGGCAUGAGUAACAUAUGUGCAGUUGAUAGAGGUGGUUUGAUCGCUCGACUGAGCCGAUUACAGUCGAGGAGAUUCAAGAGGAGAAUGAGCCACUUGAGAGAUGGUUGCCGCUGGAGGAAGCCAAUGUCGAAGUGUUGUUCACCCGAGGAAGACCAUAUGCUGGGUAAUCUGAAGUCAACAGGACAAUGAGUGGUUUGCAAAGUCAAGGUAUUUUAAGGGGCGAGUUGAUUCAUAUGUGCAUGAUGGAAAGAGAGGUUGUUUCGAUCGUGAGAGCUUUGUUCUAUUUGUAGACAGAUUGUAUCUCUACUACCGACCGUGAGAGUUUUUUUUGAUUGGGACACGGCCGUGAGAGUUUGAUUCUGUUGAGAUUGUAUCUCUGAUCGCUUUAAUUAAAAAGAGAUUGUAUCCUGAUCAGUUUUUUUAAUUGUUGGAAAUAUGCCAACCGAAUUAAAAGGUUUUUUUAGAUUUUUCUGGGAUCGUGAGAUUUUUUGUUGUUAUAGGACGAUGCAGAUGUGGGAUGGUCCAACCUGAUCGUGACUUGGGUGUCACAUUGUUUUACAUGGUUAUAUUUUUUUAGCAUGAGAUGACCCAACUUGCUGUGUAUGUUUUUUUAGCGUGAGAUAACUCAACUUGUUGUGUAGGUUAUACUUCUGUGUAGGUUUUUUUAGCUUGAGAUAAAUCAACUUGUUGUGUAGGUUAUUCU